GUUCAAACGAGCAAAGGCUUACGAUAGAUACUUAGGCACCCAGAGACGAGGAAGGGCAUAGUAAGCGAUGAAAUGCUUUGGAGAGUUAAAAAUAAACGUUGAUCCGGAUAUUCCCGAAUAGGUCAACCUUUCAAACUACUGUUGAAUCGAUGGGCAGGCAAGAGACAACCUGGUAAAAUAAAACAUCUUAGUAACUAGAGGAAAAGAAAGCAAAGGCGAUUCCCGUAGUAGCGGCGAGCGAAAUAGGAGCAGCCUAAACUGUGAAAAUGGGGUUGUGGGAGAGCAAAACAAGCGUCGUGCUGCUAGGCGAAGCGGUGGAGUGCUGCACCCUAUAUGGCGAGAGCCCAGUAGCUGAAAGUAUCACUAGCUUACGCUCUGACCCGAGUAGUAUGGGACAUGUGGAAUCCCAUGUGAAUCAGCAAGGACCACCUUGCAAGGCUAAAUACUCCUGGUGGCCGAUAGUGAAGUAGUACCGUGAGAGAAUGGUGAAAAGAAUCCCCAUCAGGGAGUGAAAUAGAACAUGAAAUCAUAAGCUCCUAAGCAGUGGGAGGAGCCCAAGGCUCUAACCGCGUGCCUAUUAAAGAAUGAGUUGGUGACUCAUAGGCAGUGGCUGGGUUAAGGGAACCCAACUGAGCCGUAGCGAAAGCGAGUCUUUAUAGGGCAAUUAUCACCGCUUAUGGACCCAAACUUGGGUGAUCUAUCCAUGACAAGGAUGAAGCUUGGGUGAAACUAAGUGGAGGCCCGAACCGACUGAUGUUGAAGAAUCAUCGGAUGAGUUGUGGUUAGGGUUAAAAUGCCACUCGAACCUAGAGCUAGCUGGUUCUCACCGAAAUGCAUUGAGGCAUAGUAGUUGACUAGACAUCUAGGGGUAAAGCAUUAUUUCAGUGCAGGCCGCGAGAGCGGUACCAAAUCGAGACAAACUCUGAAUACUAGAUAUAACCUCAAAAUAACAAGGGUCAAGGUCGGCCAGUGAGACGAUGGAGGAUAAAAUUCAUCGUCGAGAGGGAAACAGCCUGGAUCACCAAUUAAGGCCCAUAAAUGAUCGCUCAGUGAUAAAGGAGGUAGGGGUGCAGAGACAGCUAGGAGGUCUGCCUAGAAGCAGCCACCCUUGAAAGAGUGUGUAAUGGCUCACUAAUCGAGCGCUCUUGCACCGCAGAUGAACAGGGCUAAGUGAUCUACCGAAGCUGUGGGAUAUACGGAAGUAUAUGCUUUAGGCCAACAUAUAUGUAUGUCCACUCAUAAAGCAUGAAGAAUAAUUGAUCAGAUUCGUGGACGUUCUUAUGAAGAAACACUUAUGAUACUCGAGCUCAUGCCUUAUCGAGCAUGUUAUCCCAUUUUUAAAUUAAUUUAUUUUGCAACAGCAAACGCCCAACACAAUAUGGGUUUCAACGA
rnacentral:ncRNA from 1 species